GACGUAGGGUGCGAGCGUUGUCCGGAUUUAUUGGGCGUAAAGAGCUCGUAGGCGGCUCGUCGCGUCAGCUGUGAAAACCCGCAGCUUAACUGUGGGCUUGCAGCUGAUACGGGCGGGCUAGAGUUCGGUAGGGGAGACUGGAAUUCCUGGUGUAGCGGUGAAAUGCGCAGAUAUCAGGAGGAACACCGGUGGCGAAGGCGGCAUCCUGGACCAAUAUUGACGCUGAGGAGCGAAAGCUAGGGGAGCAAACGGG
rnacentral:rRNA from 1 species